ACUCCUACGGGAGGCAGCAGUCGAGAAUCUUUCGCAAUGGACGAAAGUCUGACGAAGCGACGCCGUGUGAACGAAGAAGGCCCUAGGGUUGUAAAGUUCUUUCGCCAGGGAACAAGAGAAGCAGGAUAAUACCCCGCUAAUUUGAGGGUACCUGGUAAAGAAGCACCGGCUAACUCCGUGCCAGCAGCUGCGGUAAUACGGAGGGUGCAAGCAUUAAUCGGAAUUAUUGGGCGUAAAGGGCGCGUAGGCGGAAUUGUAAGUCAGGGGUGAAAUCCCGGGGCUCAACCCCGGAACUGCCCUUGAUACUGGUAGUCUUGAGUUCGAGAGAGGUGAGUGGAAUUGCGAGUGUAGAGGUGAAAUUCGUAGAUAUUCGCAGGAACACCAGUGGCGAAGGCGGCUCACUGGCUCGAUACUGACGCUGAGGUGCGAAAGUGUGGGGAGCAAACAGGAUUAGAUACCCUGGUAGGCUCU
rnacentral:rRNA from 1 species